rnacentral:rRNA from 1 species
UACGUAGGGGGCAAGCGUUGUCCGGAAUCAUUGGGCGUAAAGCGCGUGUAGGCGGUUCAGUAAGUCUGCUGUGAAAGUCCAGGGCUCAACCCUGGGAUGCCGGUGGAUACUGCUGGGCUAGAGUACGGAAGAGGCGAGUGGAAUUCCCGGUGUAGCGGUGAAAUGCGCAGAUAUCGGGAGGAACACCGGUGGCGAAGGCGGUUCUCUGGGCAUUACCUGACGCUGAGGAGCGAAAGUGUGGGGAGCGAACAGG